CCUACGGGGGGCAGCAGUGAGGAAUAUUGGUCAAUGGGCGCGAGCCUGAACCAGCCAAGUAGCGUGAAGGAUGACUGCCCUACGGGUUGUAAACUUCUUUUAUAAGGGAAUAAAGUGUGGCACGUGUGGCUUUUUGUAUGUACCUUAUGAAUAAGGCUCGGCUAACUCCGUGCCAGCAGCCGCGGUAAUACGGAGGAUCCGAGCGUUAUCCGGAUUUAUUGGGUUUAAAGGGAGCGUAGGUGGGUUGUUAAGUCAGUUGUGAAAGUUUGCGGCUCAACCGGAAAAUUGCAAUUGAAACUGGCAGUCUUGAGUACAGUAGAGGUAUGCGGAAUGCGUGGUGUAGCGGUGAAAUGCUUAGAUAUCACGAAGAACUCCGAUUGCGAAGGCAGCUUACUGGACUGCAACUGACACUGAGGCUCGAAAGUGUGGGUAUCAAACAGGAUUAGAUACCCCUGUAGUC
rnacentral:rRNA from 1 species